AUUUUCUGGGUUGCAUCUGCAGAACUGUAUGCAAAUAAUCUUUCUCUUCCUAUUUAUUUGAUGAUUAAGAUUAAAAGAAGCAGCUUGCUCUCACACUUCUCAAACCAUGGUCUCCUCAUCUCUCUGGUUGUUUCUGCUGCUUGCAGCUGUCUCUCGUGUCCACUGUGUUGAACUGACCCAGACUGAUUCUGUGGUCUUAAGGCCUGGUCAGGUUUUGACUCUGUCCUGUAAGAUCUCUGGAUAUUCAUUGACUGACAGCAGCUACUGCACUGGCUUCAUACGACAGGCUGCAGGCAAAGAUCUGGAAUGGAUUGGAAGAAUAUGUGGUAGCGGAAGAAAUGAUUACAGUGAUAAACUGAAAAGUAGAUAUCAAGUUAGCAGAGACACUUCCAGCAGCACAGUGACUCUACAAGGACAGAAUAUGCAGACUGAGGACACAGCUGUGUAUUACUGCGCCAGAGAGUCACAGUGACACAAACCACAAGCAGCUUUGUUCAAAAACAUCUUGAAUGAAAAGUAUAAGAGAAAGUCUCCAUAUAACUUUUUUUUUCUGAUUAUUUAUUUAUAUUGUACAAGUGUGAAACAUCAGUGUUUUCCAGCCAAACAAAAAUUUGAGAAAUGAGCUGCAGACCUUUCUCUGUUGGUGUAACCUUGCUGUAACCUAAGACAAGUGGGUUCAAUUAGAUUAAACAAUAUUUUUGACUUAAAUGCAACUAGUUCAUUAGAAGCAACAAUUAAUGUUGUUGUAUAUAAAUAAAUAAAUUGUUAUUUAUUUAUAUAUUUAUUUAGUUAGUUGUGUGCAGUCACAGUAAAGUUAUUAAUCUUUAAUGAGAAUACUGCUGAUUUUACAACAGAGGGCACUGUCUGCCUUUGUGAUUCUCAGUCCAGCAGAUCAGAGAUAUUGUAAGAUUAAUGAAAUGGCCUUUUUAUUUAUUUAUUUAUUUAUUUUCUGGCUUCAUUUUUAAGCAAUGAAACAUAUAGCUAAUUU